AACGUAGGACGCAAGCGUUAUCCGGAAUUACUGGGCGUAAAGCGCGUGUAGGUGGUUGCAUAAGUCACUGUUGAAAGCUCCCGGCUAAACUGGGAGAGGUGCGGUGAGACUGUGCGGCUAGAGUAUGGGAGAGGGAUGCAGAAUUCCGGGUGUAGUGGUGAAAUGCGUAGAGAUCCGGAGGAAUACCAGAGGCGAAGGCGGCAUCCUGGCCUGAAACUGACACUGAGACGCGAAAGCAUGGGGAGCGAACGGG
rnacentral:rRNA from 2 species